AGAUCAGUGGCGGCUGCUGGUCUUUCAAGGAGGGGAAGCUCAUUUUUCUGGCCUACAUCAUAAUUGUAUUUGUUUAUUAGUAUGUAACAGAACAGAGUCGCCAAACACAACGGCAGUCGUUUUUAACAAAGACAGAAGUCGCUGAGGAUCGGUAAAGUCUCCGGAGCAGUUAAGAACAACGGAAUGAAUAACUUGGAAAAUGCUCUGGUAGAUGUUUUAUUCUUCAAGAUCGCUGAUUCGCUUGUUUAGCUGUCAAUCAAAAAAGGAUUUCGCCUCAGACAGCUCAUCCAAUCAUGGAUGCAGAAGCUUGGAGUCCGGGAGAAAGUCGGGACCGCCCUCUCGCCAUAGAACUCCAGUGAAGCUGGGCUUCCGAUGGGCGGGACAAAGCCCAGCAUUUAUCCAAUGAGCGUCUAGUUUCGCUGCUGGAACAACCCACUUUUAGCUUCCACAUUGAAGUCAGCAGAAGCCCAGCGUCCGGCUGUUUAAAGCGCUGAGGCGCUGCGAGGAUGAAUGAGAACGAAGUUAUGCCGGUUACCUGUAAUUAUCAGCUUCUUAUCACAGUGUCUGAACAAAAGAUGAAGGCUUUCUAGUGCGUAUUUAGUUAAUGAAAUGUACACACAGCCGUACGUAUUUCACCACUUUUUCUUUUUUUGGGGGGGUGACAUUUUAAGGGAAGCCGAGCUUCCCUUGCAG